rnacentral:rRNA from 1 species
GACGAACGCUGGCGGCGUGCUUAACACAUGCAAGUCGAACGGAAAGGCCCUGCUUUUGUGGGGUGCUCGAGUGGCGAACGGGUGAGUAACACGUGAGUAACCUGCCCUUGACUUUGGGAUAACUUCAGGAAACUGGGGCUAAUACCGGCUAGGAGCUCCUGAUGCAUGGUGGGGGUUGGAAAGUUUCGGCGGUUGUGGAUGGACUCGCGGCUUAUCAGCUUGUUGGUGGGGUAGUGGCUUACCAAGGCUUUGACGGGUAGCCGGCCUGGGAGGGUGACCGGCCACAUUGGGACUGAGAUACGGCCCAGACUCCUACGGGAGGCAGCAGUGGGGAAUAUUGCACAAUGGGCGGAAGCCUGAUGCAGCAACGCCGCGUGCGGGAUGACGGCCUUCGGGUUGUAAACCGCUUUCGCCUGUGACGAAGCGUGAGUGACGGUAAUGGGUAAAGAAGCACCGGCUAACUACGUG